rnacentral:rRNA from 1 species
CCUACGGGAGGCUGCAGUGGGGAAUAUUGGACAAUGGGGGCAACCCUGAUCCAGCCAUGCCGCGUGUGUGAAGAAGGCCCUCGGGUUGUAAAGCACUUUCAGUGAGGAAGAACGCCUGGUGGUUAAUACCCAUCAGGAAAGACAUCACUCACAGAAGAAGCACCGGCUAACUUCGUGCCAGCAGCCGCGGUAAUACGGAGGGUGCGAGCGUUAAUCGGAAUUACUGGGCGUAAAGCGCGCGUAGGUGGCUUGAUAAGCCGGUUGUGAAAGCCCCGGGCUCAACCUGGGAACGGCAUCCGGAACUGUCAAGCUAGAGUGCAGGAGAGGAAGGUAGAAUUCCCGGUGUAGCGGUGAAAUGCGUAGAGAUCGGGAGGAAUACCAGUGGCGAAGGCGGCCUUCUGGACUGACACUGACACUGAGGUGCGAAAGCGUGGGUAGCAAACAGGAUUAGAUACCCCAGUAGUC